rnacentral:rRNA from 1 species
UACGGAGGGUGCGAGCGUUGUUCGGAAUCACUGGGCGUAAAGCGCGUGUAGGCGGCCCACUAAGUCUGAUGUGAAAGCCCGGGGCUCACCCCCGGAAGUGCAUUGGAAACUGGUGGACUCGAGUCCCGGAGAGGAGAGUGGAAUUCCUGGUGUAGCGGUGAAAUGCGUAGAUAUCAGGAGGAACACCGGUAGCGAAGGCGGCCAUCUGGGAAGCGACUGACGCUGAGACGCGAAAGCGUGGGGAUCAAACAGG